GAUCCUAGGUCAGAUUACAUGGACGGUGGGGAGAUCUGAUCCUAGGUCAGCACUCCUACUCAGAGGCUUUAUGAAUAUGGCCCAGCUCCCUUUUACAUGGUGUUGAUUCCUCAGUACUCCCAUAGAACCUGUAUAGAAUCCAUCUAUAUUUUGUAUGUCCUGUGGGUCAUAAACUACAACACAACCUUAUGACUCAGGAACAGUCCUGGGUUGUAUUCGUUAGGCACCAAACUGAAGACAGAUAACAACUGGGGGGACUAACUGAACCUGUCCAAUAAGAAACGCUUUAGUUUUUUCUAUGAUGUACACCAACCUGAUGUCUAAGAGGAACUCUGUAAAAUCACUGUCAAGACACUUGUCAGUUACAGGAAUGACAUAAAACCAGAGCUUCAAUGCACAUUCUCUAGAGAGCGAGUCAGAGGUGAGACCAGAGCUGCAGCAUGUGUUGUCCUGCUCUGUUAGAGGCGGCUGCUUUUCUUCACAAUCCUACAAGUGAUCGAUGGCAUGACUUUCAUUGUCAUCCCUUGGAAGUAUUACAGGAGUAGUGAAAAAGACCUAGAUGAACGUCUGUCUCCUGUCUGAGGG